rnacentral:lncRNA from 1 species
AUUUAUCAAUCAAUUCUCCGCAAGAGUGGAGACUUCCUCUUCUUGGAAUGUGUACAAAUUAAGUUUAAAACUAAAUAGUGCAACGAAUAAAACUAGCAUAAGACUAGCAUGUACAGUUGGGACAACAAUUAUAGCACCACUACAACUCAUUAUGUUUUUGGCUAAUAAGAAAAACAAUUACUGGUGCGAUUUUUUUAAAGGCUUAGUUUUAUUUUUCAUAUAGUUAAGUAUUUUCCAUUAACAAAAAAAAGUGUUGCCUUUCUUCAAAUUUCUGUAUUUAUAUUUAUUAUACCCGGUACUUGAAGAGUAAAUAGGGUAUAUUGUAUUUGUGCGAAUAACGGUUGUAUGUAACGCACAGCAGGAAACGUUUCCGACCCCAUAAAGUAUAUAUAUUCUUGAUCAGCAUCAAUAGCCGAGUCGAUUGAGCCAUGUCUGCUAGUUCUCAGAGACUAUACGAGCUAGAGCCACCAAAUUUUGGUACCAUUAGAACUAUUUUAUGUAAAUUAUUUCGCGAGUGAUUUCGCGGAAUUGACUUUGUAUAAACCACGUAUUUAUUAGUUUUGACUAAUAUUUCAUUGUUUCUGGCAUAAAAGCUAAUAAUAAGGAUUACAAGAAGACGUGGAAACCUCUGAAAUGCGAAGAAGCGCGACCCUAGCAAACAAUUUUUGUUUGACGUAAAAACUUACAGAGAAUUUGGUCAAUUGGUAGGAAGUUUCAGUAAAAUGAUUAAAACGCCUUAAACUAUGAGGAAAAGUUUGAAGCACGUGGAUGAAAACUAUCAAUGACCCCUUUUAUGGCCAAAAGGCUGAUUCGUGAGAACAAGAAGGUUCCCUUCAAGUCUGCUAUCGAGCUUCAAAAAAGAGCUUAAAAUAAAAGCGACAGGCUAGAAAGUUUGGAUAUAUCUUAGACAACAAAGCCUAAAAGCCUGCAGCCCAAAAAAAAUCGCAUUUUUAAACGCCAGACAUAUUACUAAGCACAUGCAGUUUGCAAGGGAACAUGACAAUUGGACAUCCCUAUAAUGAAGGCAAAUUUGAAUGUCAGAUGGGUAAAAAGGGAUCUCGAUCAUACUUAAGAUGUCCAAGGAACGCCAGUACACCAAAGAAAACCUUUAAAUAUAAAAGGUUAAAUUUUAUGGUGUAUUCAAUACAUUGAAUAAAAACCAUUAAGUAUUAGCACGUUUUCGUGUUUGCAGAAAAUGAAAUAGGACUAGUAUGGGUCUUGCAACCGGUAAAUAACCCAAGCAUGAAAGCAAAGGAACGGUUCGGGCCAACAAUGAACGUGUUAGAGUGGCCUGCGCAGUCACUUGACAUGAAACCCAUCGAAAAUUUGUAGUCCGCCAUCCAAAAAGCAGUUGCUGCUUCCAAACCAACCACUGUCGGAUCACUUUGAGAACAAAUUUAAGAGUCCUGGUCCAAAGCUCCCCAAAAGCUAUGCCUGGACUUGGUGGAUUCCAUGCCAAAACGCUGCGCAGCUGUUAUUGCCACAAUAGGACAUUGAACUAAAUACUGAACGAUAAAUAUAGAUUUUGAAUUAAUAGUUCAGAAGUGGUAACUAAGAAAUUCGUUACUUGUUG